GCGGCGAGCAGCACUGGCGCGCGGUCUGGUCAGUCGCGGCGCGCCGGCCCACCUCGCAGCUACAUGACACGCAUGCUGAAACUACCUCCAACAUGCAGGGUAGCUUCACCGUUCGAGCAAAUUCUUCAAAAAAUCAAGAAAGAAACACAAGAGAUCGGCUAGCUUCGCUACCGGAGAGUGAAGACCGGCUUUCCAUCCCACCACAUAACCGUGGAGUCUCGGCUGAAAGAACACUACCUACCGCCUAUCUCGAACAUGAAAAAGAGUAUCUGCUUGGCCACAAGUGACAUUUUUCUCAUCUAUGAAACUAUAGUUCAACUACAAAAUUAAAGAAAUAGUUGACAGUGUUGCCAACUUUUAACCAACCCUGACGUGUAUGAAGGAGGAAUACUAAGAUGAAGCAAAGUAUGCUGUCAUCUCGGAGCAAACUCUACAACAUCAAAGAGGAAUUCAAAGCUCAAACAAAGUAUGUUGUCAUCUUGAAGCAAACUCUUCAACAUCAAGGAGGAAUAAAGAUCAAGAAAAAUGUUGUCAUCUUGAAGCAAACUCUUCAACAUCAAGGAGAAAAUACAAAGAUCAAGCCAAUUAUGUUGUAAUCUUGAAGCAAACUCUUCAACAUCAAGGAGGAAUAAAGAUCAAGAAAAAUGUUGUCAUCUUGAAGCAAACUCUUCAACAUCAAGGAGAAAAUACAAAGAUCAAGCCAAUUAUGUUGUAAUCUUGAAGCAAACUCUUCAACAUCAAGGAAAAGUACAAAGAUCAAGCAAAAUGUUGUCAUCUUGAAGCAAACUCUUCAACAUCAAGAAGGAAUUCAAAGAUCAAGCACAGUAUGUCGUAAUCUUGAAGCAAACUCUUCAACAUGAAGGAGAAGUACACAGAUCAAGGAAAAUGUUGUAAUCUUGAAGCAAACUCUUCAACAUCAAGGAGAAGUACACAGAUCAAGGAAAAUGUUGUAAUCUUGAAGCAAACUCUUCAACAUCAAGGAAAAGUACAAAGAUCAAGCAAAAUGUUGUCAUCUUGAAGCAAACUCUUCAACAUCAAGGAAAAGUACAAAGAUCAAGCAAAAUGUUGUCAUCUUGAAGCAAACUCGUCAACAUCAAGGAGGAUUAGAAAUGAUAGUCAUCCUAAAGAAAGUUUUUAACGUCAACAAUGAAAACAAGAGCAUUUUUCAAAGAGUGUUUGCAUCUUGAAGCAAACUUUCCUCUGUUAUAGCUGAUGAAGACAUCUUUACCUCAAUGGUGGUUAUUUGAGAUUCCUACCUCUUCAAACUCGAGCAAGAAGAUAAUGUUGACGGAGAAAAAUGGGGAUCAGAAAAGAUUCAGGAACAUCCAAUUAAAAUCGCAGAAGAUAUUUGGAUCACACAAAGACCUGAGAAUCUUCACGAAAGGAGGUCAAACAGAAGACUCUUCUCUACAUUUAAAUAUAACAACGAUUGCUGAUUGGCUGCAUCUGGCAGGUAUUAAGAAGAAACCGAUCUCAAAGAAGCCAGCUCAUGUAAACCACACUGUUGUAUUUAUAAGAUAAUUUCCAAAUAUUCAUGUCAUUAUUUGUUAUCAUUGUCUCAUUCUGCUUGAAUUCAUUCAUGUUAUUUAUUCAAUAAGUGAAAACCAA